rnacentral:rRNA from 1 species
AGUGAACGCUGGCGGCGUGCUUAACACAUGCAAGUCGAACGAGAACGGGUUAUAGCUUGCUAUAAUUGUCAGCUAAGUGGCGCACGGGUGAGUAAUGUAUAGGUAAUAUGCCUCUUACUAAGGGAUAACAAAUGGAAACGUUUGCUAAUACCUUAUACUCCUUAUUAACAUAAGUUAAUAAGGGAAAGAUUUAUUGGUAAGAGAUUAGCCUGUAUUGUAUCAGUUACUUGGUGGGGUAAUGGCUUACCAAGACUAUGACACAUAACUGGUUUGAGAGGAUGAUCAGUCACACUGGAACUGAGACACGGGCCAGACGCCUACGGGAGGCAGCAGUGGGGAAUAUUGCACAAUGGACGAAAGUCUGAUGCAGCAACGCCGCGUGGAGGAUGACACAUUUCGGUGCGUAAACUCCUUUUAUAUGAGAAGAUAAUGACGGUAUUAUAUGAAUAAGCACCGGCUAACUCCGUGCCAGCAGCCGCCGUAAGAC